rnacentral:misc_RNA from 1 species
CUGAAUGACUCUGUCUUUAUUAAGAA